AACAUGGCUACUGCUCUGGAACAUGUUACACAGAGAUUGUUAAGAUAGAACCAAGUGUGAUUCACCAUAACUCGUACAUAAACUCUCCUAGAGCAUUACAAAAGAUGUCUGCUUCGAAAGUGGGAAAACAUGAGUUCAGGCUGGUUAUGCCCUGGCAGUCUGGCUGCAAAGGAUCUUGGCAUCAACCUGCAACCACACUUACAAUAUCAUGUUCAAUUUGCAUACAGGUGCUCUGACAUCAAGCUUCCCAGAGGGACCACGCCCAACUUCAUUUCCAGAGAUGGUUGGAGAUGGUUCAGAGAUGGUUGGAGGAACUGUGAUAUAGCCACGUGUUCAAGCUAAGCAGAUCUAGGUUUGGGUGACUAGUCCUAUUUAUGCUGCCUUAAAUUCCAUGGUGGAAGUAAUGUGGCAUAUAUUUGAAAUAAAUAACUUGAAAAGUCAUAAGUAGGACACACUUUUAGAAAAGAAAAGAAAAGAAAAGAAAAGAAAAGAAAAUAUCAUGUUCAGCCAAUGUGACAAGUCAGUUCUGAUGGUCUCUGGAAGUCAUAUGAAACAAGCCUGCUGUGGAAUAUCUACAACUGACUCAGAAUUCUUGCAGUAUGAAUACCACCAAGACGGCACUUCAGUAGAAAUAACCUAGCAUGUUGCAAUCUGGCAUGGAACCAAAACAUCUCUUCUAAUAAUGUUAAUAAUUAAUAUGUCAUGUUGUUUAUCAAAUAAUGUUAAAACCAGGGCCAGAUUGACUGUAGAUGAUAUGUGAGAAACGCACUCUGUUACUAUUUCUCAGUUGAAUACAUCUGAUAGUUACCAUCACAGUUGAGUAAUAUAGAUUUAAGAGAGAAGAGCCAUAAAACAAUAGAACAUUGAUUUUUAAAUUUGAUUUUUAAAAUGGACUUUUAAACAGUUUUUAAAUCAAAACAAUAAAAUAUUAAUGUAAAUUGCCCUGAGCCAUUUUUGGAAGGGCGGUAUAUAAAUAAAAUAAAAUAAAUAAAUAAAAUAAAUUGGG